GUCCUCGUGGCCUAAAUUACACAUGCAUUUCUCACAAGUGUGCGUACUAACCAGGAAUUAUUUCAGCUGUAGACAAAGCAAUUAAGCUAAUUUUCUCGCUGUGUAGAGUGUGCCAGCAGCUGGCAAACGGUUUGCAGGAGGGCUCCUAAAAGUGCUAGCAUUAGCCAAAUUAUUGUCACGGAUAAUCAGCAAUAAGUUUCCUCACAUUGCCAGUGAAAUGCACAGUUCAGUUAGGCUUUGGGAGGGAGGAACUCAUUGCAGCAAGAAAUGCUUUUCUUUUAUAAGGCUCCUACAAUGAAAUAGUUUUCCUUUGAUUGGAUUUCCAGUCCACGAGGAUCAGAUCCCAUACGACAAACAAUACUUGGCUGAUCCCAAGAGAAACAAAGCAUAGGGGAAGGACCAAGGUGAGAAACUCAGGUGCAAGGCACAGCUGCUUGGUCCAGGAAUGAAAUAAUUUCCAUUAUUAUAAUCUCCAGCUUCUGGACAGAGAAUUCAGGAGAGUGGGAGCCUAGCUACAAAGUGGGAGUACUAUGUGGCAAAGGGAAGCAGAACCUAAAUACUGACUCAGCGAGCUUUUUGUUAUCCUUACCCCCAGAGGUCUAGCUCAAUUUUAGUGGAAAGACAAGAUCAUAAAACUGGGAGGAUAGUCAAAGCCCUAAUUUCCUUUUCUCGAGGGACUGCUGGUUGAUGGAUGGCUGCUGAAUUUGCCUGUGAAGGCCCUCAUUUUUUAAAAAAAGCCUUGCACUAGGAAUAGCUACUGAGGCAAGGGAGCUAAGUCAGCUUAACUAAUGAUUUAAUGAAUUGGUCCAAGGCAGAAAGACUGGGUGAUGAAAUCAACCCAUAGUGUAUAAUUGCGUAUUUUUCUUUAAAGUGGCCUUGACCUUCUUCCUUAAGAAUUUCACCU
rnacentral:lncRNA from 1 species